AACGGUCUAUACCUGCGGUACCUGCGGAAGGAUCAUUAUCGAGUUUUGACUGGGUUGUAGCUGGCCUUCCGAGGCAUGUGCACGCCCUGCUCAUCCACUCUACACCUGUGCACUUACUGUGGGUUUCAGAUGGCCGUAGUGAGCCUUAACGGGUUUGCGAAAGCCUCUGUGCCUGCGUUUAUUACAAACUCUUACAAGUAACAGAAUGUGUAUCGCGAUGUAACGCAUCUAUAUACAACU
rnacentral:misc_RNA from 1 species